CGUUACCCAGAAGACAGUUAAUGUUAUUUCAUCAGCCGACACAGCAUGUAGCACCAACACUUUCUUUGAAUACAUUUUUAAAGUUUAUUUCAAACUUAAUGAUAUUAAAGACGCGUUUAUAGACCGGAGAUGGACAAACUAGGUGCAAAGAACUGAAGACAAAUAUUAUGCGCUUGUCACCGCAGUCCGUCAUAAAUGGACCAUCUGCCCGGUGUGAUGAUGCAAGACUGCAAGGUCGGUCCAUUAUGUCACCAUUCAAACUCAAACGGCAAGGUUCUACAAUUAAAAUAAAUUCUAAGUUGAAUAGAGGUCCUUAUAGUCCUUAUGAUAAGCUAAUAGUUGUUAGCGAGAUAUAUCAUUCUCAUGGUUUCAAGUGCACGUGUUAGGGCUCCCGAGAGGCGCAGCAGUCUAAGGCACUACAGUCCCUGGUUCGGAUCCAGCCUAAAUCACACCCGGCCGUGAUUGGGAGUCCCAUAGGGCGGCGCACAAUUGGCCCAGCGUCGUCCGGGUUUGGCCGAGAUGGUGCAGAAGUCCUGAAUUCAACAGUGAAGGCUCUAAAGGAUGGGCAAGUUGUGGCUGUGCCAACGGACACAAUAUAUGGGCUGGCUUGCUUGGCUCAGAAUUCCAAUGCCAUCAAAAAGGUGUAUGACAUCAAAGGACGUAAUGGUGAGAAACCACUGGCCAUUUGUGUUGGAGAAAUCAAAGACAUUUACAAUUAGUAGUAGUGUGCAUCCCGGACCAGGCCUUCAUGUGACGCCUCUGCCAGAUGUGUCGGGAACCUCUUGCCCUCACCAGCACCAACAUCAGCGCACACUCCAGCACUGUGGCUGUACAUGUAUGUUGAGACAACCCACCGUGUGUGAGAACUGUUUUUAUUCCAUGAACUGGAGAGGAGGUGGGACUACAUCAUCUACAACUAACCAAGGUUUAUCAGUGCAUCAUUUUUCACUGAUACUUAAAAGGACUUUGGCAAAAUAGUAGUUAUACAGGAGUUCCAGGAUCUGUGGCCUCAGUUAUCAGUGGUGGUGGAUGGCGGACCAAUAGGAGACAAGAGUCGGUUGGGGUCAACAGGCAAAUACCGCAUCAUCAGACUUGGCUGUCCAUGUGCUAGAGGACUGUCAGAAGACACGGGAUGAGUGAGGUUUGCCCCAUUCGAAUUCAUGCCACAUGCUGAAAUGUACAACCAGCAAGAACCUGUGCUUACCAUGGCCAAAUACAACUCUGAAUAAUGGCAAUGCCUGCAACGCUGAGGCGAUUGAUGAUUUCUAAAGGAAGGAC